AUCACGAACUCCCUCGGAACGACAGGGCCCAAAUCGAUCCCUCAAGCCAGUCCCACAUCUCCUCCCCCGCGCCACCGCCGCCGACCGCCGUCCGCCGUCGCCGCGCGCCGGGUGCCCAAGAUGGACGGGGAGGAGGAGAACUCGGGGCCCUUCCGCCGCACGAGCUCGCGGACGCGGCGGAUGGCCUCGCGCAUGGCCUCUGCCCUCUCCAGCUCCGACAACCGCGCUCAGGCUGCUUUGGCUCGUCUUGAUGCGCUUGAGAGUGAUAAUGCUGGGGUUGAGGUGGUGGAUCUCAACGAUGAUGAGUAUGGAUCUACAGAUGAGGAGGACCAUGUUUUGAUGCAAAAGAAGCAAUCAAAGAACAUGAAACGCAAGACAAGGCAAGGAAAAGCUUUGGAGAAAAGGGCGGUAAGAUCUUUCAUGGAUGCUUUACAAGAGGCAAAUCUGGAGGCCUUGCCACCUCAUGUCCCAACAUAUCUGAGGGCUGCUGUGGGUCCACCGAGCACUUCAUCCCGUCGCCAUUACUGCUCUGUUUGUGGGAAUUCUUCAAAUUACACAUGCCCCAGGUGUGGAACACGGUUCUGUUCUUGCCGCUGCCAAGUCAUACACAAUGACACUCGCUGCCUGAAAUUUGUGGCUUGACCCAUCUACAAGUCUGUGGAGCCUGGAGUUAUGUUCAAUGCAGUCUUGCCCUGUGGGCAUGUGGCGCCUAAUGAUCUGUGCUUUUAUCAGAAAGAAAUGCUUAUUGUACAGCUAGCCAAGUAGUAGCCAGGCAGAUCUUUUUGCAGACCGACACCAUUUCUCCUUUAGAAAUGUUGUGUGGCUGGUGGUUGUGUACUUCAACGCAGUGCAGUGGUAAAUGAUAGUUGUACUUUAUUUGGCACUAAGAUUGAUUUCAGUGUACGAUUGGAUCUCAUGAUGCAGGAAAUUCUAACUGCAAGUGUUCCUC
rnacentral:rRNA from 1 species